AUAUUGCACAAUGGGGGAAACCCUGAUGCAGCGACGCCGCGUGAGCGAUGAAGUAUUUCGGUAUGUAAAGCUCUAUCAGCAGGGAAGAANAUGACGGUACCUGACUAAGAAGCCCCGGCUAACUACGUGCCAGCAGCCGCGGUAAUACGUAGGGGGCAAGCGUUAUCCGGAUUUACUGGGUGUAAAGGGAGCGUAGACGGCUGUGCAAGCCAGAUGUGAAAGCCCGGGGCUCAACCCCGGGAGUGCAUUUGAAACUGUCCAGCUGGAGUGCAGGAGAGGUAAGCGGAAUUCCUAGUGUAGCGGUGAAAUGCAUAGAUAUUAGGAGGAACACCAGUGGCGAAGGCGGCUUACUGGACUGUAACUGACACUGAGGCUCGAAAGCGUGGGGAGCAAACAGG
rnacentral:rRNA from 1 species